AUAAAAUCAAAGAUUUAAUUUUAACGACAAUCUGGAAAAAGUACAUUGAACUUGGAUUUAAAUUUGAUUUGAAUACAAGUCGGACUUUUUUACCUACUCCACCUACUAAUGAAAUUGAAGAUACCACUCAAAAUCUAAUAAAUUUGAUAGAUCAUACCAAUGAAGCAAAUAUGCUACAAAUGGUUCAACAGCAUGAUAUUUCACAAAAUCCUUCAAUAAAUUUAAUACAACAUAUAAAUGAAGUAAAUGUGAUUAAAAAUGUUCUACAAGAAUAUAUCGCACAGUACUCUUUUAUAAAUUUGAUGCAAUCUACCAAUGAAGUAAAUAAACAAGAUGGCAUUAUAAAGGAAGGUGAUUAUUUUAUAAUACACUAGAGUACACUAAUUGUAGACAAAAAUAUGCGAAC